UACGGGGGGAGCAAGCGUUGUUCGGAAUCACUGGGCGUAAAGGGCGCGUAGGCGGCUUUGUAAGUCGGGGGUGAAAGCCUGUGGCUCAACCACAGAAUUGCCUUCGAUACUGCAUGGCUUGAGACCGGAAGAGGUUAGUGGAACUGCGAGUGUAGAGGUGAAAUUCGUAGAUAUUCGCAAGAACACCAGUGGCGAAGGCGGCUGACUGGUCCGGAUCUGACGCUGAGGCGCGAAGGCCAGGGGAGCAAACGGG
rnacentral:rRNA from 1 species